UUUUUAAUGAGGGGCAAGUCCAACUAUAAGCCCAAGCCCGCAACCACUCAGCUAUCUCUCGGCCCACUCCAGAAACCAAGUCUUUCAACCCAACUGGCCCUCAAUCCAGGCCUGGUUUCUUCUCUGCCAACCAGGCCUUGGCCCAUGAAGAAUUUUUUCCAGAACACAAGUCUUCCUCCUCUUCGAGCACGCACCCGAUUGCACGACCAGUGCAGAAUUUCACCGCCUCCAUCGACGCCUACUUACCGGCAUCUAAUUUUGCUACUUUUGUCAAUGACUUAAGCAUAUCGCAAAUUCAGAACUUUAUUGGUCACCUAAGUGCACGUCUCC
rnacentral:lncRNA from 1 species